ACUCCAUGAAGUCGGAAUCGCUAGUAAUCGUGGAUCAGAAUGCCACGGUGAAUACGUUCCCGGGCCUUGUACACACCGCCCGUCACACCAUGGGAGUGGGUUGCAAAAGAAGUAGGUAGCUUAACCUUCGGGAGGGCGCUUACCACUUUGUGAUUCAUGACUGGGGUGAAGUCGUAACAAGGUAACCGUAGGGGAACCUGCGGUUGGAUCACCUCCUUACCUGAAAGAA
rnacentral:rRNA from 1 species